GGCAUAUCCUUGGUAGUUGGUACCAACUUUUGUAACUCUCAAUUGAGACCUUGAUCACUAUUUGAACUAAUUGACUAAGAACUAUCCAAUACUACCUGUAAGAGGACCUCCUUGCAUCACACAAACAUUUGGAAUAUACACACAAGAAAUUUUUAUAAGGAAAGGAAAUGAGAAUCAAGACAACCCUUGAUGCAACACACAGG
rnacentral:misc_RNA from 1 species